rnacentral:rRNA from 1 species
ACUGCUCAGUAACACGUGGAUAACCUGCCCUGCGGUGGGAAAUAACCCCGGGAAACUGGGGAUAAUGUCCCAUAGGCUACGGAUGCUGGAAUGCUCUGUAGCUCAAAGAUUUAUCGCCACAGGAUGGGUCUGCGGCCGAUUAGGUAGUUGUUGGGGUAACGGCCCAACAAGCCUUUGAUCGGUACGGGUUGUGGGAGCAAGAGCCCGGAGAUGGAUUCUGAGACACGAAUCCAGGCCCUACGGGGCGCAGCAGGCGCGAAAACUUUACAAUGCGGGAAACCGUGAUAAGGGAACUCCGAGUGUCCGUCAAUGCGGACUGUCCGUAUGUUUAAAAAGCAUGCGAAGAAAGGGCCGGGCAAGACCGGUGCCAGCCGCCGCGGUAAUACCGGCGGCUCGAGUGGUAACCGUUAUUAUUGGGUCUAAAGGGUCUGUAGCCGGCCGGAUAAGUCUCUUGAGAAAUCUGGCAGCUUAACUGUCAGGCUUUCAGGAGAUACUGUCUGGCUCGAGGCCGGGAGAGGUGAGAGGUACUUCAGGGGUAGGGGUGAAAUCUUGUAAUCCUUGAAGGACCACCAGUGGCGAAGGCGUCUCACCAGAACGGACCUGACGGCAAGGGACGAAAGCUAGGGGCACGAACCGGAUUAGAUACCCGGGUAGUCCUAGCCGUAAACGAUACUCGCUAGGUGUCGGCCACGGUGCGACCGUUGUCGGUGCCGUAGGGAAGCCGUGAAGCGAGCCACCUGGGAAGUACGGCCGCAAGGCUGAAACUUAAAGGAAUUGGCGGGGGAGCAC